CCACUAACCCUAGUGGCCUCGAUAAAAACGGGAAGCUGGCAGCUUGUUGAAGGUUCCCUUCCCCCCCCCCCAUUUUCCUUGAUUUUUUCCUGGUAUAUUUUGAAAUUCAGCACACUUUGGCAGUUAUGGCGUUGGUGGCAUCGCAAAAACUGCCAAAAUGCGUUGUAGGCAUUCCAAAAAUCUGAUUGCCACUCAUGUAGGUAGGCCUACUAUUUGUCUUCGUUAACUCUGAAGCAUUUUCUCUUUAGCUCUUGGUCUAUAAUUUAUAUGUAGGUAAAGGAUAAGGAAAAUUUCAUAACAACUUUAAAACUUUCAGCCAAAAAGACUUUAUUUGCAGCAUCCAGUAAAAUGCGCUGUUCACUCCGGCACAAAAAUGGGUGUGACGAAAAAGUUUCAAGGCUUCAUAAAAACCUACAAUAGUGAAAACUCUGAAACUCUCAGUGAAAAGGAUGCAAUAGAAGGUAUCCUGCCAUGGCACAAUUUACUGCCUCAUACCUUACCUUGAGGUUACCUUGAGGUGCUUCCGGGGCUUAGCGUCCCCGCGGCCCGGUCGUCGACCAGGCCUCCUGGUUGCCUGGUUGCUCAUCAUAGCAAAAAUGUGUCCCUGGCUCAAAAAAAAAAGAAGGCAGUAGAAGAUGUGGAGCUUCAGAAGAGAUCCAGAGAGAAGCAACAACAUACCAUUCAAGAAAUGUUGCAUUAUCUCAUAUAUUACAAGAAGAAGAGAGAGAUUUUAACCAAACAUACUAAAGAGUUAUGUGGAAUUUUCCCUUCAUAUCUAAGCAAGGUGUGAGACAGAGAGGGACAAGAUCAUCCAAGAGGAACAACACCUGAAGGUUGAUCCACACCUGAAGGUAGCACCACACCUGAAGGCAGCACCACACUUGAAGGCAGGUCCACACCUGAAGGCAGCACCACACCUGAAGGCAGCACCACACCUGAAGGCAGCACCACACCUGAAGGCAGCACCACACCUGAAGGCAGCACCACACCCUCCACUUUUGCAGUUUUGCCCCAUUUGCCAGCAACAUUUGGCUGCUUUAAUUAAUAAUUAAUUAAUUCUCUCCACAAACAGGACCAAAACUUGCUCCAAGCGAAAUCACAGUUUCGGGCGAUCGAGCGGCAACACGGAAAAGUGUAUACUCUUUUCACUGUGCUGACCUUAAUUUUCGAUGUACAUAUUUCAUUUUUGUAUCAAUGUGUUCGCAAUAGAAUGUUCUAGAAGAACAUAUGUAUAAAAUGUCACCAAACUG